UAACUGACUGUUUUUCAGACCAUCACGGCUGGGGUGACCCUCGAGGUGAAGUUCGUCCACUACAAGAACUCAGAGGGGGAAGGAAGCAAUGGCGAGUGUUGUGAUGGCAGAUCUGUGUUCUGUUUCUCAGCGUGUGAUCACAAGUUUAACAUUUGUCUUGAUAAGGCGACCGGAGCAAACAACAUACGGGAUUGUCCCUUUGGAAGAUUCAAAUCAUCGGAAAUACCAGAUGCUGACACAAUUACAUUCGGAUCAUCCUUUGGAGGAGUGAAAAAUCCAAUGUUUUUCCGAAUGAAAUCCUGGCCGGGAUCAGUGAAACUGAAGGUGGAGGUACAUGAUGCUGAUCCCGGUUCCAAUCCGUCAGACCACGUGGACUUCCUGUACAGAGAAAUAUCAGAGAAGGUAUCUCCCGAUAGGGCGUCAUCCACUACCUCCAGCUAUACAAUCAAGAAGAGG